AGAGUUUGAUCAUGGCUCAGGACGAACGCUGGCGGCGUGCCUAAUACAUGCAAGUCGAGCGAAUCGAUAGGAGCUUGCUCCUGUUGGUUAGCGGCGGACGGGUGAGUAACACGUGGGCAACCUGCCUGUAAGACUGGGAUAACUUCGGGAAACCGGAGCUAAUACCGGAUAAUCCUUUUCCUCACAUGAGGGAAAACUGAAAGUCGGUUUUUAGCUGACACUUACAGAUGGGCCCGCGGCGCAUUAGCUAGUUGGUGAGGUAACGGCUCACCAAGGCGACGAUGCGUAGCCGACCUGAGAGGGUGAUCGGCCACACUGGGACUGAGACACGGCCCAGACUCCUACGGGAGGCAGCAGUAGGGAAUCUUCCGCAAUGGACGAAAGUCUGACGGAGCAACGCCGCGUGAGCGAUGAAGGCCUUCGGGUCGUAAAGCUCUGUUGUUAGGGAAGAACAAGUAUCGGAGUAACUGCCGGUACCUUGACGGUACCUAACCAGAAAGCCACGGCUAACUACGUGCUAGCAGCCGCGGUAAUUC
rnacentral:rRNA from 1 species